rnacentral:misc_RNA from 1 species
GUUCCCUCAGCGUUCAGGCAGUGGAGCAGGAAGUGGAUGUAUCUCUCCAAGAGAUAACUACGCAUCAGUCAGGAGAGAAAACAGAGAACUGAAGCUCGAGGUUGCAAGAAUGAGAAUGAGGCUGACAGAUUUAGAGAAAGAUCAUGUAUCCAUGAAACAAGAGCUAGUAAAGUCACAUCCUGCUAACAAGUUAUUCAAGUCAUUCACCAAGAAACUAAGCAAGCUCAAUGCACUAUUCAGAAUAAGAGAUUUAAAGCCAAUAGGGGGAAAAGCUAACUCAGAA